GACGGGGCCGCACAAGCGGUGGAGCAUGUGGUUUAAUUCGACGCAACGCGAAGAACCUUACCAGGUCUUGACAUCCCCUGACAACCCGAGAGAUCGGGCGUUCCCCUUCGGGGGACAGGGUGACAGGUGGUGCAUGGUUGUCGUCAGCUCGUGUCGUGAGAUGUUGGGUUAAGUCCCGCAACGAGCGCAACCCUCGACCUUAGUUGCCAGCAUUCAGUUGGGCACUCUAAGGCGACUGCCGGCUAAAAGUCGGAGGAAGGUGGGGAUGACGUCAAAUCAUCAUGCCCCUUAUGACCUGGGCUACACACGUGCUACAAUGGGCGGUACAAAGGGUCGCGAACCCGCGAGGGGGAGCCAAUCCCAAAAAGCCGCUCUCAGUUCGGAUUGCAGGCUGCAACUCGCCUGCAUGAAGCCGGAAUCGCUAGUAAUCGCGGAUCAGCAUGCCGCGGUGAAUACGUUCCCGGGCCUU
rnacentral:rRNA from 1 species